GAUGAACGCUGGCGGCGUGCCUAAUACAUGCAAGUCGAGCGAACGGACGAGAAGCUUGCUUCUCUGAUGUUAGCGGCGGACGGGUGAGUAACACGUGGAUAACCUACCUAUAAGACUGGGAUAACUUCGGGAAACCGGAGCUAAUACCGGAUAAUAUUUUGAACCGCAUGGUUCAAAAGUGAAAGACGGUCUUGCUGUCACUUAUAGAUGGAUCCGCGCUGCAUUAGCUAGUUGGUAAGGUAACGGCUUACCAAGGCAACGAUGCAUAGCCGACCUGAGAGGGUGAUGGGGCAAAAGGGAACUAGGACACGGUGCAGACGAAUACGGGAGGCAGCAGUAGGGAAUCUUCAGCAAUGGGCGAAAGCCUGACGGAGCAAGGCCGCGUGAGUGAUGAAGGUAUUCGGAUCGUAAAACUCUCUUAUUAGGGAAGAACAAAUGUGUAAGGAACAGUGCACAGCUUGACGGUACAUAAUCAGAAAGACACGGAUAACUAAGUG
rnacentral:rRNA from 1 species